rnacentral:rRNA from 1 species
UACGUAGGGUGCAAGCGUUAAUCGGAAUUACUGGGCGUAAAGCGUGCGCAGGCGGUGAUGUAAGACAGGGGUGAAAUCCCCGGGCUUAACCUGGGAACUGCAUUUGUGACUGCAUCGCUGGAGUGCGGCAGAGGGGGAUGGAAUUCCGCGUGUAGCAGUGAAAUGCGUAGAUAUGCGGAGGAACACCGAUGGCGAAGGCAAUCCCCUGGGCCUGCACUGACGCUGAGGAGCGAAAGCGUGGGGAGCGAACAGG